AUGACACGGGACCCCAUUGUCGGCGGAACCCUGGCACCCCAGGGUUCCACUGCUGCCUGGCGCUACUCUGCAUUCCCAGGCAGUGGGAGGCACUCGUGCCUGGAUCUGGCUCACAGCCCCCGAACAAGCCCACUCUCCCCAGUACCCCAAUGCAUAAAGUGUAGGUGCUCACACAGCGACAAGUCGCAGAAAUCUUCAGUCUGCCCCAAGCCCGCAGGAACACUCACUGGAAGGCCCAUCCACCGCCAUCUCGGUGCCACCCCUGAGUUGGGAGACGUCACCCCAAGCAUCAGCUGUGAUAAUUUCUAG
rnacentral:lncRNA from 1 species